rnacentral:rRNA from 1 species
UACGUAGGGUGCAAGCGUUAAUCGGAAUUACUGGGCGUAAAGCGUGCGCAGGCGGUUAUGCAAGACAGAUGUGAAAUCCCUCGGCUUAACCGGGGAACUGCGUCCGAUACUGGAUGGCUCGAGUUUGGGAGAGGGAUGCGGAAUUCCAGGUGUAGCGGUGAAAUGCGUAGAUAUCUGGAGGAAUACCGGUGGCGAAGGCGGCAUCCUGGACCGGCAUUGACGCUGAUGAGCGAAAGCUAGGGGAGCAAACGGG